GAGAGAAUGGGUUAGGUAUAGUGAAUUAAGUUAUAACAAGAGAGAAUGGGUUAGGUAUAGUGAAUUAAGUUAUAACAAGAGAGAAUGGGUUAGGUAUAGUGAAUUAAGUUAUAACAAGAGAGAAUGGGUUAGGUAUAGUGAAUUAAGUUAUAACAAGAGAGAAUGGGUUAGGUAUAGUGAAUUAAGUUAUAACAAGAGAGAAUGGGUUAGGUAUAGUGAAUUAAGUUAUAACAAGAGCGAAUGGGUUAGGUAUAGUGAAUUAAGUUAUAACAAGAGAGAAUGGGUUAGGUAUAGUGAAUUAAGUUAUAACAAGAGAGAAUGGGUUAGGUAUAGUGAAUUAAGUUAUAACAAGAGCGAAUGGGUUAGGUAUAGUGAAUUAAGUUAUAACAAGAGAGAAUGGGUUAGGUAUAGUGAAUUAAGUUAUAACAAGAGAGAAUGGGUUAGGUAUAGUGAAUUAAGUUAUAACAAGAGCGAAUGGGUUAGGUAUAGUGAAUUAAGUUAUAACAAGAGAGAAUGGGUUAGGUAUAGUGAAUUAAGUUAUAACAAGAGAGAAUGGGUUAGGUAUAGUGAAUUAAGUUAUAACAAGAGAGAAUGGGUUAGGUAUAGUGAAUUAAGUUAUAACAAGAGCGAAUGGGUUAGGUAUAGUGAAUUAAGUUAUAACAAGAGAGAAUGGGUUAGGUAUAGUGAAUUAAGUUAUAACAAGAGAGAAUGGGUUAGGUAUAGUGAAUUAAGUCAUAACAGUGUACUUUAUCUUACACAUUUUCUACACUCACUGCUUCAUCUAAUGUGAACAUGAUGUUUUAUAAUAAUCUGUGUUUAGUGUAAGGUGAUCGUGAUGUUAAAGUAAUACUUUUCUGUAAAAGCUGUUCACCACUGGAACCAACUUCCAGAAUGGUUCAAAUGUGUCGCAGAUACCUGGAAUUAUACAGAUAACCCUAGUGAGGAUGUCUGUCCUAUAGAGAGGACACAUCUAACUGCCUUAUCAAAUCCUGGAAUUAUACAGAUAACCCUAGUGAGGAUGUCUGUCCUAUAGAGAGGACACAUCUAACUGCCUUAUCAAAUCGUGGAAUUAUACAGAUAACCCUAGUGAGGAUGUCUGUCCUAUAGAGAGGACACAUCUAACUGCCUUAUCAAAUCCUGGAAUUAUACAGAUAACCCUAGUGAGGAUGUCUGUCCUAUAGAGAGGACACAUCUAACUGCCUUAUCAAAUCCUGGAAUUAUACAGAUAACCCUAGUGAGGAUGUCUGUCCUAUAGAGAGGACACAUCUAACUGCCUUAUCAAAUCCUGGAAUUAUACAGAUAACCCUAGUGAGGAUGUCUGUCCUAUAGAGAGGACACAUCUAACUGCCUUAUCAAAUCCUGGAAUUAUACAGAUAACCCUAGUGAGGAUGUCUGUCCUAUAGAGAGGACACAUCCAACUGCCUUAUCAAAUCGUGGGGUUUUUUCCCCUUAUUUUUUUUGUGGUGGAAAACGGAGUGCAUGAAACACAACACAUCAACCAGAACGAAGUGAAUUGUUAAAACAUUUCUAGGCUGUUUGUGAAGCUUUCAUUCAAUUGCCCAUCCCUGUUGCACACAACAAGCUUCUCUGUCACAAGGGGAUUUAUGACAAAUUUAAAAUAAAAGCCUCAACAGUGAUACAGUCUAAUCUGUUACUGAAAUCGCACUUUAAAUGGCACUUACUAUAGACUUUUUUAAAUUUGACCCCUUGAGACAGGAAAACAUGUUUUUUUAUUAAGUUGAACAUGUACUCUUUAUGACAGAAUGUAAAAUGUUAAACUACCCAAAAUGUAGUCUAUUUGUAGACAGACCCAUUUAGUUUCCUUAUAUCCUACAAUCCAUUUUCAGGUUGUCUUCUUUUUACUUGAAUAAGAAUCAGAUUACAUUGUCAGACAAAUCUGUAUCGUUUUCUGGCGAUGUUGGCAAAAAAAGUGAAUGUGAUAAACCAAAUAUAAUGUUUGUGGUAUCUGGUCUGGAAAGCUUUAUGAUAACAUGUUUGUGUGCUGUAUGUUAAUUACCAUCCUACAAUGUAAAAGUUCUUCAUAUCAAAACACUAUAAAACUCCUGG